GUGGGGAAUCUUGCGCAAUGGGCGAAAGCCUGACGCAGCCAUGCCGCGUGAAUGAUGAAGGUCUUAGGAUUGUAAAAUUCUUUCACCGGGGACGAUAAUGACGGUACCCGGAGAAGAAGCUCCGGCUAACUUCGUGCCAGCAGCCGCGGUAAUACGAAGGGGGCUAGCGUUGCUCGGAAUUACUGGGCGUAAAGGGCGCGUAGGCGGACAGCUUAGUCAGAGGUGAAAGCCCAGGGCUCAACCUUGGAAUUGCCUUUGAGACUGGCUGUCUUGAGUUUGGGAGAGGUGAGUGGAACUCCGAGUGUAGAGGUGAAAUUCGUAGAUAUUCGGAAGAACACCAGUGGCGAAGGCGACUCACUGGCCCAAUACUGACGCUGAGGCGCGAAAGCGUGGGGAGCAAACAGGAUUAGAAACCCGGGUAGUCC
rnacentral:rRNA from 1 species